CGGUUAGACACCAGCCGCCCGGCUUCCCGCGGCACCAGACUUCUGCUCGCCGUUCUCACAAAAUACAACUAGCAGGCGCCGCGAACGCGCCCCAGGUGACGUCAUCGCGCCGGGCCCAGGGGUCACGUGAUUCCGCGCGCGGCCUUCGGCGGACUGCGUGGUGACGUAGGCGCGGGCGUGCGCGGCAGAAGCCAUGGCUGGUGGAUGAGGCGUGUUUGUGCGGUCGCGGACCGCUGCCGGGCAGCGUCGUCAUCCGAGGCCAUCGAGGGCCCCAGGUGGUACCUGCGCUCUGCUGAGGCCAGGUGAAGGCUUCCAGUGGACGCGGAUCCCUUCAGUCCAACUGCAGAGGCUGAGCACACCAGCCUCCACGCGGCUGCGUCUGGGGACACUUGCCCAUGAGUCUCGAGUUUCUGCAGUCCUCGGAGCGAGGUGCCGGCUGCCCUUUUGCCCAGAUUGCCUUUUCAAGGAUCUUCAAGUAGCAGACAGCCUCGAGAUGUGUGAGGUAGCGCCUCCCUCCAGAGCAGAAAGCAGCAUCUGUGAAACUGGAGUUUGUCUGCUGUCGGAUGGGAGCUAAAUCAGACCCUUACCUCCCCCAGCAGACUCUGCUCUGCGUCCCUGCCCUAGCGCAUAACAGGAAGUGCCUGCCAUCCCCCAGUGUUUCAGAAAGCCCAGGAUGCUAGAACUAGAAGAGACCUGAGAGAGGAUCCCUUUGGUGGCUGUCAGGCUGUCCAUGGAAUCUGCAGUGGUAUGUAUGCAGGAAGGGUCGGGCCUAACAAGUCACUUCACUUCUGUUUUAUAUGUUAGUUUUCCAUGAAUCCCCUGGCCAAGAAGUUUAAAACCAUUGACUUAUUCUGACCUUCCCUUAUUAUAGGUCAGAUGAUUGAGUCCCAGAAAGGUUAAUUGCCUUCAAGCCCACAAGACUACAUUGUGGACAGGCAGUUUUCUAGUGUCUGGAUUGUGGGGCUUUGAUUCUUUGGCAUUUGGUUGCCAAAUUUGGUUUUGGGUUCGACGCGCCACCUUUUCCCCAGGAAUCUCCUCGGUCAGUGAUGUGCUGGCCUAGAAAGGGCAGGCUGCUGCGAAGUCUCAUCACAGAGGCCUCCUCAACUGAAGGUGGAGUCAGGAGUGGGAACCCAAGUUCAGUUCUGUUAUUGCCACUCAGUGGCAAUUGGCAUUUGUAACAAUCCCUGGCUAUGUGUUUACGUCACUCAUUUUUCACAGCAGGCCUCUGAGGUGUUUCCAAUUUCCUCAUUUUUCCGGAUGAGGAAGUGGGUACUCUGGGGAGUUGUGGCCUGUCUACGCUGACACACCUAAUAAGGUUGCAGCAGAAUUUGAACCAGGCCUUUGCACUUGGGUUCUCUGAGCAACUUCAAUGCCUCCCUUACUCCCCUGCUAGGAAGAGUCAGGAAUUUCCGGUUCUGGGCCCAGGCUGGGGUGUGGGUGGCUCGGGGCCUGGGGUGUGUGUCUGACUGACAUUCUCUGACCCCAGGUGUGGGCGCUGUAUCUGCCUCCAGAACAAGAAUCCUCGCUGUGCGGCUGACCCCGUGGCUGAGUGGUUAAGUUCGUGCUCUCCACUGCAGGCAGCCCAGUGUUUCGUUGGUUCGAAUCCUGGGCGUGAACAUGGCACUGCUCAUCAAACCACGCUGAGGCAGCGUCCCACAUGCCACAACUAGAAGGACCCACAACGAAGAAUAUACAACUAUGUACCGGGGGGGUUUUGGGGAGAAAAAAGGAAAAAUAAAAUCUUUAAAAAAAAUAAUAAUUAAAAAAAAAAAAGAAUCCUCGCUGUGCAUCAGGACCCAGGUCUCUCUGACAUCUCCUGAAUAAGGAGAAAGACAUAUUUAAUAAACAGUUUUAAAUGUG
rnacentral:lncRNA from 1 species